AGUGAACGCUGGCGGUAGGCCUAACACAUGCAAGUCGAACGGCAGCACAGUAAGAGCUUGCUCUUACGGGUGGCGAGUGGCGGACGGGUGAGGAAUACAUCGGAAUCUACUUUUUCGUGGGGGAUAACGUAGGGAAACUUACGCUAAUACCGCAUACGACCUACGGGUGAAAGCAGGGGAUCUUCGGACCUUGCGCGAUUGAAUGAGCCGAUGUCGGAUUAGCUAGUUGGCGGGGUAAAGGCCCACCAAGGCGACGAUCCGUAGCUGGUCUGAGAGGAUGGGGAGGGAGGGGGGAGGUGAGGGAGGGGGGGGGGGCGGGCGGGGGGGGGCGGGGGGGGGGAGGGGGGGAGGGGGGGGAGCCUGAGCGAGCCAUACCGCGUGGGUGAAGAAGGGCUUCGGGUUGUAAAGGCCGUUUGUUGGGAAAGAAAAGCAGCAGGUUAAUACCCCGCUGUUCUGACGGUACCCAAAGAAUAAGCACCGGCUAACUUCGUG
rnacentral:rRNA from 1 species